UGACCAGGAUGGGGCUGUGUUCGUGGCAGUCCCCUGGGCUUCCUGCAGGGACCUGGAUUUCUAGUAUUUCAGGCUGCUGUCCCGUUUUUUCUUCAUUUCCUUUUUGUUUUGUUGAUGGGACCGCAUAUCCACAACACUGGGAUUCCCUCACCCUCAGAGUCUAGAAUCCAAUUUCUUGGAUUUCAGUGUUUUUAAGGUGGGGGGAUCUCGCUAUGCUUCCCAGUCUGGACUCAAAUUCCUGGGCUCAAGUGAUUCUCCCUCCUCAGCUUCCUGAGUAGCUGGGACUUCAGAGACGGCAUGUCAGUCUGGUGGUCUAGCCAGAGGAGGACUCCUGGAGCUGGGGAACUGUGCAUGGAUAUGCAGUCAUGGGCAGCCCACCUCCUACUCCUCACCCCCCCAGUGCCUGCGAGGGUCUGCACUCACCCUGUCAUCUCCACCUUCAGGAUCUGGCCAGCCAGGUCGGCCAGCUUGUCCCAAGGGUUGCUUGGGCUACACCUUACACUGAGACAUCUCACAAUUUGGAGCUAGACUUGCUGCUCAGGAGUGUGGAGGCUGCAGGAAACAAUGGCAGGAGAUCUGGGUUUUUUCUGGCUGCAGGCCUGACUGCAGCAGAGAAGGCAACAGAGAAGGAAAGAGAGAGGAAGAAAGAGUGAGAGAGAGACUGGCUUCUCCUCCAUUUCUCAAGCAAGAAGGCUUGCCAGCACCGCCCACCAUGGAGCUGCGGCUGGUCCUGGGGCGAAUGCAGAGCUGAGCAGCAUACAGCUCCUGUUCUCAUAGACCUGGCAACUCUGACAUGGAAGUAAGGCUUGCCCAAGAGAGGAGAGUGACUAAGGGCUGCACUGCUGGAUGCAUCCAGACCCUUCGAUAAGGGGUCUGGGAGGGGAAGGGGCAGAGAGUGAGGGCAGGAUGGUAGAAAAUGUCUUGACUCAGUGCCAGGCCCUGAGCUAGACACUAGACAUGCACUAACUCUCAUUCUCACAGCAACGCUCCAAGAUAAAUGCUAUUAUCCUGCAUGGUACAAGCGAGGAAACCGAAGCUCAGAGAGGCCAAGUGACUCCCUCAAAGGCAACAGCUAUUAAGUGGUGCCAUAGGAUUUAAACCAGGUCUGCCUGUCUAUGAAAUACUUUUUUCCCCAUUCCCCAUACAAGCUUAGCUAGGUGAAAACAGGGAGCCUCCAUAGUCCUAAAACUCUGGGUCCUGUGAAGCCAUUACCCAGUCACAUGCAACGCUAUGCAGAGUCCUGGCUCAGUAAAUAUUUGCCCCAUGAAUGGGAAGGAGAGAAUGUGCCUUUCUUGGUUCUAGGCAGCUCUUGGCAGUUCACGUGCACUGUUUACCUUUCCUCCCACAUUCCCCCGAGAGGAAUCAUCAUCCCUCCCUUCCCUCGACUGAAAACAAGGCAGAGUGGAAUGACCUGAAGUGCCUGGCUUAAAUAGAGCCUAUCUCAGACCUGCCCCACAUGGCCACAGGUCUCCUUUCAAACAGCAACCUCCGUCAGAGAAUCCCAGUUAAGAAAAAUAUCUCACAUCGUUUAAUAAGGCAGACUUGGGAGGAGAAAAUGUUUUAAGGCCUUUGCAGUUUGUGUGUGUUCAGGCUCCUACAAGGGAAAGCAUUUUGGAUUUCCUGGGAAAGCUGGCAUCCCAGAGGCUGAGAGUGGAUCGGGGGAGGAAGGUCUGCAGCAGGCAGCAGCAGGGAGGUUUUAGCCCAGCUUGGGCCUUUGCCAAGGAGAAACCCUGCUGUCCUAGGGAAUUUGCUGAGCAGAGUCUCUUGGCCUGAUUUGUAGCUAGUGAUGCGAAUGCAUUAUCCAAAGCUGGGUGCCAAGCAGAGAGCAGAAUGAGACCACCUCUCCAUUCAUUUCCAGCCAUUGAUUAGAUGAUGUUGAUGAACUGUGAUUUUUAAAUGGAAACGGCUUUGUCAUCAUGAUUUUUCAAUACAAUUCUAGCAUGGCUCUUUAUUUUCUAACCAAGGCCCUAGGCAUCCAAUUUAACAUGUUGGGUAUGACAUGUUCCCCAGGGUCAGCUUUUUAUUUCAUUGCCAUUUUAAGGGUAUCAGAAUAUGUGCUAAGAAUUUACAUUUGAAUAAUAGAUUUCUGGAUGGUAAAAUCCUAUUAUUUACAUUUAGUAAAGUCCCUUUGGAUAUUAAGAACCAGCACAAUACUAAUUUUUCUUGCUGUCACUUAACAAUAUAAAUUGGUUUUGUGUAAGAACCAGGAGCUCAUUGGAUUGAAUUUAGGAAACUGGUAAAACAAAUUUGACUUCAGCAGGUUUGAAUGAUUACAAUGUAAUAAACAUAUAAAGGCUAGGAAGCUAAUUUAUCAUUGCUUUUUGUUUUAUUUAUUUGAAACUCCUUCAUCUUUGGUAUAAACAGGCU